rnacentral:rRNA from 1 species
GACGAACGCUGGCGGCGCGCCUAACACAUGCAAGUCGAACGGAGAUUACAGGCGGAAGUUUUCGGAUGGAAGCUUGUAAACUUAGUGGCGGACGGGUGAGUAACACGUGAGCAACCUGCCUAUCAGAGGGGGAUAACGAUUGGAAACGAUCGCUAAUACCGCAUGACAUAGCGGAAUCGCAUGGUUCUGCUAUCAAAGAUUUUANCGCUGAUAGAUGGGCUCGCGUCCGAUUAGAUAGUUGGUGGGUAACGGCCUACCAAGUCGACGAUCGGUAGCCGGACUGAGAGGUCGAACGGCCACAUUGGGACUGAGACACGGCCCAGACUCCUACGGAGGCAGCAGUGGGGGAUAUUGCACAAAUGGGGGGAAACCCUGAUGCAGCGACGCCGCGUGAGGGAAGAACGGUCCUCUGGAUUGU